rnacentral:tRNA from 1 species
GUUUGUAGCUCAGUGGUAGAGUGCUUGCCUAGUAUGUGUGAGGCACUGGGUUCAAUCCUCAGCACCA